UGCAUUCUACAAAGGGCAGUGAUCGGACUGUCCUCUCAUCUCAACAACUUUUCUGUCGCUGUACCAUCAUAACGCUACUGUUCGAUGGGUAAUUCGUUUUCAGGACUACCUGCGGCUCGGCUGUUGAUGCGGGAGGUGCUGUAGGGCCCUACUGCCUAACACUUGCUGACGAGGACAUCCUUGCAAAGAAUGAGAUCGUGGAUCCUAGCAUCGGCCUCCAGAAAAGGAAGGAAUGAUCCAUGUCGGGCAAGGUGUGCACGUCAACCAGGAAUGCGGGCAACAUGCGGAAAGCAGAGUGCGACUCCAUGUUUUGCAAGAUCACUGCUGCUUCCAUAGGGCUGCUUUUGACUACACCUGAGGGAGAAAGGUACCGCCAGGCUGAAAGGGCAGCCCGGCACCAGAAGAUACGGCGGUACCUGUCAGAAAAGCUGUCCAAUCUCAAGAGAAAUCACUACAAAGGUAUGUGCAUCUAUACUCUAACUUCCUUAAUUAAGUAAUAUACUAUUUUGGGUCUCAAGUUUACAAGCAAUUAUUUUAAAUGAUGGUAUAGAUAAAUUAUUUAGAGGUUAAUAUAUCUAAAUGUUUAUGCAAACAACUUUAAAGCAGUCUGUUGAUCAGCUGACUACUUGAAAAAGGCUGUGGGUUGCUUGGUCGCUACUGCUAUCCCAUCAGGCCGUGCUCGCUCACUCUCCAAAAAGUUGCAUGGUCACACAAUUACAAUGAAACAUGUCACUCUUACUGCCCUUUAGUCGUCUCUAGGCCCACUCUGCUGUUUACGUAUGUCAAUGGUCGUCCUGUGUUUGGACUCAUUGCUGAUC